UCGAGAAUUUUUCACAAUGGGCGAAAGCCUGAUGGAGCGACGCCGCGUGGGGGAUGAAUGGCUUCGGCCCGUAAACCCCUGUCAUUUGCGAACAAACCUUACCGGUUAAUACCCGGUGAGCUGAUUGUAGCGGAAGAGGAAGGGACGGCUAACUCUGUGCCAGCAGCCGCGGUAAUACAGAGGUCCCGAGCGUUGUUCGGAUUCACUGGGCGUAAAGGGUGCGUAGGUGGUGAGGUAAGUCGGAUGUGAAAUCUCCGGGCUCAACCCGGAAAUGGCAUUGGAAACUACCUUGCUGGAGGAUUUGAGGGGGGAUUGGAAUACUUGGUGUAGCAGUGAAAUGCGUAGAUAUCAAGUGGAACACCAGUGGCGAAGGCGAAUCCCUGGAAAAUACCUGACACUGAGGCACGAAAGCUAGGGGAGCAAACAGG
rnacentral:rRNA from 1 species